rnacentral:sRNA from 1 species
CACAGGGUCUGAAAGGGAACUUUACUUUUUUAACUUACAAUUCAUUAGACGGAUUUUAAACAUAACGCUUUAUGCAAGGGAUGUUUAUAAUCGUCUUUUCAUUUUCAAUUACUAUAUGGGCACUCAAUGUGGGAGCCUAUAACUCUUUCCAGGGUCCCACUUGGCUGGGGGGGGGGCGACAUCUGCAGGCGUUUGAGAAACACUGUUUAAGCUUUUUCACAUAGAGGCACACGUCAUAAUCUUUCUAGUAGAAGAAUAUAUUUUGUAAAUAGAACUUUAUUUACAAUACAAUUUCAUUUUCAUUCAUUACUCUGUACGUACUCUACGUGGAAAUAUAUUCUACCUAUAUAUGUCUAUUUUUUAGGUUGUGAAUUUGGUGACAGAAACGACAAUUGCCACGCCUACUCUUCAUCGAUUUGUUCUGAUGCACAUAACCAGCAGGCAUGCUGUGAUUUCUGCUCAGUUGUGGUCGGAAAGCGUUCGGUUGAGGAGCCUGAGACAUUUCACAUAGGUCAGGGACAUAGCGUUGCCAACUUAUUUAAAGUAGAACCAACUGAAGAAAACACAAGAAGUGAGAAAAAAGGGAAAGUGACAACUGUUGUGUAAUUUCACUCUUUCUGUCGUCGAAACUUCUAAUAAAAACAUGACCAAUACUUA